CCUACGGGAGGCAGCAGGGAGGAAUAUUGGUCAAUGGGCGGAAGCCUGAACCAGCCAAGUAGCGUGCAGGAUGACGGCCCUACGGGUUGUAAACUGCGUUUAUACGGGAAUAACGCGCCGUACGUGGAGGGCUUUGCAUGUACCGUAUGAAUAAGGACCGGCUAAUUCCGUGCCAGCAGCCGCGGUAAUACGGAAGGUCCGGGCGUUAUCCGGAUUUAUUGGGUUUAAAGGGAGCGUAGGCCGCAUGUCAAGCGUGCGGGGAAAUGUCCGGGCUCAACCCGGGCCUUGCAGCGCGAACGGGCGUGCUUGAUUCCGCGGCACGCAGGCGGACUUCGUCGUGUAGCGGUGAACUGCUUAGAUCUGAC
rnacentral:rRNA from 1 species